GAAACUCAUUUUUUGAUUGAGCACUUCUAAGAUUGCUCAUAAACUAGAUCAACUAUUUUUCUGUACUAUUGAAAUAAAAUCGAUUUACUUUUUUUGUUCCAGAGGCUAGUGGCAUAUCUGGUUUUCUUCGCUAGAGCCCAUUGUGGAGAAUUGGGAUGGAAUGGUAUGAUUUGGGAUUUGUUCAAUCACUGAAAGCAAUGGGCAUAUUGGCAUCAUAUCCUCUACCAAAUCAAGGUAAGGCCGACGAUAUGAAAAUGUUUACCAAAACAGCUACGAGCAGUAUCUGAGGGGUUGUCAGACUAACUUGUUGCUCCAUGAAUAUCAUACUAGCACCAUUAAGAUUGCUAAUCGGCAAAACAAUCAAUGAAAGUGGGCUUUAAUAUAGCUGAAAAUAAUUUUUCCCGAAAGCACUAAACUAUCGUUGCCUUUCAAGGGAUUGAUGUAGUGGACUUGAAUGCUAAAUUUGUAGCACCAUACUAGUGGCAUUGUGAUCGUUGGCUAGCAAAACAAUCGGUGGUUGUAGCCCAUGAUAUUGCUUAUGGCAACAAUGACCAUCCGGAGCAUCAAAUAAUUGUUGGCCCCCAAAGAAUGAUAUGGAAAAAGAGUCCAUUUUCCGAAAAGAAUAUUAGUUGUGUUGGACUCCCAAAUCAGUAACUGGAAUAUUGCCAUACGGGAUUAUGUGUAUUAAUUGCCCCCAAUUUUGUUUGAAUAGCUAUUGUGGGGUGGAAAAUUUUUUAAACCACUUGGUGGAAUGAUAAUGGUAGGAUGCGCUAGCAGGGUUGUUGAACCGAUUGUUGCCUUGAAGGCACCUUACCAAUGAUGUUAAGAUCGCUUAUUGGCAGGACAAUCGACGGUUACAGUUAAAAAUAGUUGUUCCCAGAGAACAUCGAAUUGCCCCUGUAAAGAAAUUGAUGUAGUGGACAAUCCUCUUAGGCAAGAAACAUACUAUCCACAUCAUUUUUCGAAUCAAUCUUUGGGAUGUUUCCAUAUGAGGUUUGAUACAUCAUUUGCUUCCUAAAUUCUUUUGUGUUUCCAUUGUGAUUUAUAAAGAUUGUUGAACCAUUUGAAGAGUCCCUCUAAAGCAUUUGUAUCUAUCCAAACUGUAAUAAAUGCAUCUUUGAAAAUGCAAAUGAUAGAAAAAAAAAAUUUUAAAAAUAAUUCAUAACUGCCGCAGGCUGUAAAAUAUAAGCAGUUUGAUUCAUGCUCAGUAUCCGAACCGACAUUAUUUGGGUUGCACAACUAGAAAAAUUUGGCGUACCAUAGGUGUUGGAUGUUUUUUGACUGUGAUA